GACGAACGCUGGCGGCGUGCUUAACACGUGCAAGUCGAACGGUAAGGCCCUUCGGGGUACACGAGUGGCGAACGGGUGAGUAACACGUGGGUGAUCUGCCCUGCACUUCGGGAUAAGCCUGGGAAACUGGGUCUAAUACCGGAUAGGACCCUGGGAUGCAUGUCCUGGGGUGGAAAGCUUUUGCGGUGUGGGAUGGGCCCGCGGCCUAUCAGCUUGUUGGUGGGGUGAUGGCCUACCAAGGCGACGACGGGUAGCCGGCCUGAGAGGGUGACCGGCCACACUGGGACCGAGAUACGGCCCAGACUCCUACGGGAGGCAGCAGUGGGGAAUAUUGCACAAUGGGCGCAAGCCUGAUGCAGCGACGCCGCGUGAGGGAUGACGGCCUUCGGGUUGUAAACCUCUUUCAGCACCGACGAAGCGCAAGUGACGGUAGGUGCAGAAGAAGGACCGGCCAACUACGUGCCAGCAGCCGCUGUAA
rnacentral:rRNA from 1 species